UACGUAGGUGGCAAGCGUUGUCCGGAUUUACUGGGCGUAAAGAGCGUGUAGGCGGCCAGACAGGUCCGUUGUGAAAACUCGAGGCUCAACCUCGAGACGUCGACGGAAACCGUCUGGCUAGAGUCCGGAAGAGGAGUGUGGAAUUCCUGGUGUAGCGGUGAAAUGCGCAGAUAUCAGGAAGAACACCUAUGGCGAAGGCAGCACUCUGGGACGGUACUGACGCUGAGACGCGAAAGCGUGGGGAGCGAACAGG
rnacentral:rRNA from 1 species